GAGAUUUUCUUCCCAAUCUUAACUUCUUUCACGGACAAAACCCUACGUGAGGGUUCAUUGCUAUCGCGCCAGAGACUUGUUAAGGGCACCUUUCUGCUUCCCCGUCAUGGCUUCAGGGAGUAGAGGGCCAAUUGCGGCGGCUCAGGGCGGCGCCUCUUCGUGGCCGUAGGCAUCACUGCGACAGCGUCGGGAUCGUGGAGGCGUGUCCUUCAAAGCAAACCGUAAUGGUGACCGCGGCGGGUUGAGCGAAUCGGGUGUCCUCUUGCAAGUUUAGGGUUUUUGAUUUGGGGCUUGCAAUUAGGGUUUCGUCUAUAGAUUUUGGGGUUUUCCCUGCUCUUGUUUUCGAUUCUGAUCUUGGGGGUUUCAGCUUCGGCGUAAAGAGCUCGCGUUUCUGACUGCAUGAAGAUGGCGAGGGCAGCGGCGCGGUGAUUGACGAGGGUAGUGGCGGCAUGGAGUUUUGGGGUGUGGGUUUUUAUUUUUAUUUCUCGUUCUGUGAUUUGGGGAUUUUGGAGUCUGUUCUUGCCAAUUGGGGAUUUUAAUUUCAAUUAGGGAUUUUGUUUCGGUUCUUGGAAACUUUUGGGUUGUGUUGAAUCUGUGAGCUUGCGUUUCUUUGGGGUUUGAUCGCGAUGAUCGUUGCGAUGUUUUGUGGUUCGUUUCUACGUGUUAGGGUUCUGGUCUGUGGUGUCGGUGGUGGUUGCACCGGCGGAGCAACCAUGGGUGGUAGUGGUGAGUUGCGGCCAAGGCUCAGGGUGGCAGUCAGGGUUGCGCCUAGGUCAGGCCUCUAAACCAGCAGCAUUGGGUUUCUUGUUUCGAUUGCAGAUUUGGAUAGAACUAAUUGGGGGUGUUGCUCCCUCCACGGCCCAAGUUCUUUUGCACCUUCCAGGAUUUUCCUUAUUCCAAAAAUAUUCUAUACCUUUUCACUAUAUUUUCUUAUUCUAAAAAUACCUUACAUUUUCUUAUUA